AGGACGAACGCUGGCGGUGUGCUUCACACAUGCAAGUCGAACGGGGUAGCAAUACCCAGUGGCGGACGGGUGAGUAACGCGUAGAAAUCUGCCUUGAGAUGGGGGAUAACAGUCCGAAAGGAUUGCUAAUACCGCAUAUGUAUAUAUCCGGACACGGGUGUAUAUGAAAGGAGUAAUCCGUCUUAAGAUGAGUCUGCGUCCGAUUAGCUAGUUGGUAGGGUAAAGGCCUACCAAGGCGACGAUCGGUAGCUGGUCUGAGAGGAUGAUCAGCCACAAUGGGACUGAGACACGGCCCAUACUCCUACGGGAGGCAGCAGUGGGGAAUUUUGUGCAAUGGGGGAAACCCUGACACAGCGACACCGCGUGAGCGAAGAAGCCCUUUGGGUGUAAAGCUCUGUCGGCUGGAACGAAAAAAAUGACGGUACCAGCAAAGGAAGCAUCGGCUAACUACGUGCCAGCAGCCGC
rnacentral:rRNA from 1 species